rnacentral:rRNA from 1 species
UACGAAGGGUGCAAACGUUAUUCGGAAUCACUGGGCGUAAAGGGUGCGUAGACGGUCUGUUAAGUUCGUUGUUAAAGGCUCCGGCCUAACCGGAGUACCGCAAUGAAAACUGGCGUGCUAGAGGGUGAGAGAGAGAAGUGGAAUUCCCGGAGUAGCGGUAAAAUGCGUGGAUCUCGGGAGGAACACCAAUGGCGAAGGCAGCUUCUUGGCUCAUUCCUGACGUUGAGGCACGAAAGCGUGGGGAGCAAACAGG